UUCAAUUGGCAUGUGGGACUGACGAAGCUUGUCGUUCAUCGGAAACAAAUUUAGUAUUUACCGCAAUGCCAUAAGUUAUGGCCCGUAACUGACCAGAGCCUGUGAGUCGGAGAAGAUGAGCAGAGUUUAGGGGUGGAAAGCGACUCGUUAGUGGCUGUCUCCACAAUUCUACACCACUGCCCGCCUCAGCACUCUUGUGCAACCAUUGUUAACUUGAUCCAGAACCUCCUGAAAAGAGACUGGCAAGUUCGAAUUACCCACACCUAGCGUGAAGGAAAUCGCGUAGCUAACGCUUCUGCCAGCCUGGGACACUCAAGCUCCACGGAAGUGACUUGGUUGGACCACCCUCCUGCUGACUAUGCUAGCCACCUAUUCUAUGACAUGUCUGCGACCCUGUUCCCUAGAGGCUUUGUUGGCUAGUUUGGGCUGAAGCCCUCCUUAUUACAAAAAAAAAAAUAGAGUUUAGGGGUAAGGGUAUUUGUGGAAAAGUAAAAUUAUGACAGGGAUAAUAUGGUACUUUGAUUAAUAUUGCCAUAUCUGUGAAGGUAGAGUAGUCCCCACUGUGAACAUGGUUGAAGGGGGAAGAAGAAGACAAAUGUGAGGUUUGAAUUCAGGCCAGGGAUAAGGCUAAAAUCUCCUGAUAGCACCACCAGAAGAACCUUCGUUCCAUCUCUACACAUGGCUACUUCAGUUACCAGCUGUGGGUUGGGAUGGAAAUCUUCCUCCUUGUUUGCACACUCUACUACUACUGGCUUCAAUUUGAUUUCUCCUUCUGUCAAACCAAAACCCAAGUUUUCUCUCACUUGCUCCGCUGCCUCCUCUUCUUCUGGUACCCUCUUUUCUUCCUAGACUCAACAUUUUCAAUACCAUUUGUUUCUUAUAAGUUAUAUGGUGCUUAUAACUUGUGGGUUUCAAUAAAGUUUUAAACUAUCUGCUGUAUCAAUGAGUUAUUGACUUUGAAGAAACUUUUUUUCUUAUGGCCUGUACCAUUUUGAAAGUUAUUUUUUGCUAGUUUUUUUAUGUGCCAAGCUUUCCUUAUGCCUAAUUUGACAUGGGGUUUUUGUCUGGGAUUAUUUUGGAAUCAAAAUGUAUGUUCUGUAUCUAUGACAUUAUAUCAAUUGUGGGAUCUUGGGGUGUAUUGUGAUUCAUACUUCUUUUUUUUUUGUGAUUUUGUGAUUCAUACUUCUUGUUAGCACUGAUCAUUGUCAUUGUAUGAUUGAAGGAAAGAGUAAUUCAGAUGUCAAAUGAAUUUUCUUUGGGUGAUUGCUGAAUAUGAUUGAAAGGAAUGAAGAGGGGGGGGGGGGGAGGUUGUUGUUUGAAGAAUACAUUACCAUUUGUGCCUAGAAGCUGUUUAACUUAGUUUCAGUGUUUGCAAUUGUCUGUUGGUCCAUUUGACAAGGAAUUUGAUUCUCCUAUAUUAAGGUCUUAGCUUUUCAUUUAACUUGAUUUGUUUUCGUAUUGGUUCAACAUUCAACAUGUGCAUCAACUAUGGAGGCCGCCGUGUUAACAAGGAGAAAAUUUACUAGUGUAUAGCCCGUGCAACUGAAAUAUAAAAGAUUCACAGCAUCAAUCCUGACUGUAGAACACAUCAUAUUUACUCGAAGGUCCGAAAAUAAGGACAAGGCACCCAGAGAAAAGUUGUUGAACUGACUUGUCAUUUGCAAAGGUAACACGUGAAAGCUUGAAUGUCUUCAGGCUAGGGAAACGAAUGCCACUAGGAACAUCUAGAACACAGCCCAGUUCUAAAUGCUGCUCAGUCAAUGAUUCAAAGGCCGAGAAACAAUUGGGUAAUACAAACUGAUUUACAAGUAGGGAAAGCUUAAGCUCUUCGAUUUGUGCUUCACUACAACAGAUAUAAGAGAAUUAACUCUAUCCUCAUCAAUGGCAACCCCAAAAGACAUGACACCGAGACUUUUUACAUAAUUAGAAUGAUGAAGUAGUCUGUGCACUUGAUCUAAAAGGCAAUAUACUUGGUCUUCUUCCAUGCUGACUAUUGGCAGAUCAUUUUCAAAAUUAAAGACAGAUAAGUCAGUCCAUAAGUACUUCCACCUUUUUGAUAAAACGGAAGUCGCCACUGCAUCUCUGGUUGGGAGUAAAGAAAGAAUGUCAUGAAGAAGGUAAUCAGGUAAGUUACUGAUCAUAUCUUUCCUGUUACCCACAUUGUGUCUUUGGAGCUUAUGUGAAUCAUAUGAUGAGUUUAAACCAGCCAUAAGAGUUGUUGUACCUACACAAAAAAGGGUAAGAAAUGUAAUUAUCAACCAGACAAGUCACAACUCACAAGAUAAGCUUCUCAAAGUGCAGUCCGCAACCGCAAUUGCGGCCGCAACAUAAUGGAUUUUGGAUUCACUGCAUCCACAUCAGGAUUGCGAUUGUGGUCACACCAACCAGCAUUUGAUCACGAUUCGGCAAUGCAGCGGCAAUUGCAAUUUAAAACCCUAUAUUACGUAAUGGGGUACAUAAUAUAAUAACUGACUCUUGAAUUUCACAUGUAUUGCAACUAAACAAGGUUUGAAUGGUCAUUCGUUGUUGUAAUUCGUACGGACUUAUGGCGGAAAAUACAACGUUACCCGUUUUGGCAGAAACUUUGGUAUAUUAUUGUAA